CCUACGGGUGGCAGCAGUGGGGAAUAUUGGACAAUGGGCGAAAGCCUGAUCCAGCCAUGCCGCGUGUGUGAAGAAGGCCUUCGGGUUGUAAAGCACUUUCAGUGGGGAAGAAAGCCUUGGGGCUAAUACCCUCGAGGAAGGACAUCACCCACAGAAGAAGCACCGGCUAACUCCGUGCCAGCAGCCGCGGUAAUAUGGAGGGUGCGAGCGUUAAUCGGAAUUACUGGGCGUAAAGCGCGCGUAGGCGGUCUGAUAAGCCGGUUGUGAAAGCCCCGGGCUCAACCUGGGAACGGCAUCCGGAACUGUCAGGCUAGAGUGCAGGAGAGGAAGGUAGAAUUCCCGGUGUAGCGGUGAAAUGCGUAGAGAUCGGGAGGAAUACCAGUGGCGAAGGCGGCCUUCUGGACUGACACUGACGCUGAGGUGCGAAAGCGUGGGUAGCAAACAGGAUUAGAUACCCGGGUAGU
rnacentral:rRNA from 1 species